AAUAUGAUUUCUGAGUAAAAACAAGGUGUGGCUCAGUGAUAUAACUGCCCUGGCUGGUCACGUGCUAGGAACCAUGAGCAGCAGGAAAGCUUAGACACUCUUGUUUCCUGCAUGUCCUGAAAAAAUUACAGAAAAAGGGUAACAAUGUGACCAAACACCAUGGUGUUACUGAAAAUCUGUGCAUCCCCAAUAAAAACCAACAAUGUAAGUGUUUCAGUGUGACACUGGAUGGAAGAACAAAGGAACCAAUAUCUCUACAGAUCACAAUUAAUCAAAUAACCAUGCACACUGUUCUUCUGGAAGCAUCAGGAUUGUGGCAUGUUACACUGGAAACCUAAGAAACAGCACUGCAGCAUAAGAAGGUGCAGCAGUCCAGCCUGCUGGCACUGGCACAGUUUCUUUCAGAGAAGAAUCAAUUCCAUCCUUAUGCUGAUGUAUUUGAUCUACAUGAAUCCUCCAAUCCUAAAAAAGGCAUCACAAAUUAAAACACAGUCAUUACUGUUACCAGGAAAAGAAUGGAAAGAAGAAGAGGCAGAAAUACCAAAACUUAGUUUUGGUAACAGGAUACAUUUAGAAAGGGGAAAAUUAUUUCCAGCUUCAAGAUCAUAGGAAGCACACAUGGACUCCAGGGUGGGGGCUGAGAAAAGGUGCUGUGAAUUGGCCCUGCACACCAGGAGAACAAACCAAGAAGUAUUAAGGUCCACAUUUCUGAACAAAACAAGACAUGGAGAAUUUAUGAUAUGGAGCUUAUGAAGAGACAUAGUACCUGGGACAAGCUGGAAGACCAAAGCUACCCCAUAUUUCCUUCAGAGCUCAAGAGUAUUACAAAAAUAAACCAACUAACCAACAAAACCCAAACCCUAAAGCCUCUGACAUCAAAUGGCCCAUUAUCAUAGUUGUAUGUUAAUUGUAUUUUUUAUGUAUUUCUUAAAGCUCUACCUUAAAAAUAAAGCUCCAUCAAAACAAAAACCAAACCACAACGAGACCUCAACACAGCUUUCAAGAUAUUGUUUGCACAAUGUAUUUGAAGUUACAGAAUGAUGCCACAUCUUAAGUGUGCAGAGUAACACAACUGAAACUGAGGCAAUUGCUUUUUUCUUGCCCAUGAGACCACACACCAUGUUCAUGUACUCUAUGAAUCUGUUAUAGUCUCAAAAUCCCCUUCUUCUGUGAGUAUGAUCACCUGAGAGCUCAUCACCCAUAAGUAACGAUGCUUUUUGUGUGCAUUAACCUUCAUUUCUCUAUACUGUAUUUCAUCUGCCAUUUUAUCACCCAGACACUUCACCCUUAUACACCUUGUCCCCCUCUUGACUCUUUUCCACCAAAGUGAAAUUUUAUCAUCCACCUCCUUUCUACACAAAUCACAAAAGCUGCAAUAACACAGGUCUUAGGGUAAAAUCCUUCAAGACUCACUGAAAACCUGACAGCUUAUUUCUCUUUCCUCUACUUUACCCCGUUUUUAACUAACAGGGACCACUAUUUUCUUCUGGCAUGUCUGACCCCGAGUCCCCUGAAUACUUGCGAGAAAUUAAGACUAUAUGAAGACUAUCUUUUGCUAAUGGUCAAUACAUAUUUGCGCAGCAUUUGGAAGAACACACCACCAGAACAAGAAGACUGGUUAUCAGAAGUGAGAAGCCAGACUGUGCAGAUGUCCUUGCACACCCAGCCUCACUGCCUACUGCUGGCCACCUAAUACAGGCUAUCCCUGCUAGGCUUGUCUCUGUCAGCCUCAUCAUUUUUAUUCAGAAGACUCAAAACGAAAGAACAAUCAGUGAACCGCAUCAUUAAGAUUUAAUUGCUGAAAAUACUGCUAAAUUCAAUUAUGGAUACAGCUAAUAUCAAUAUACUGGCAGCAACAAUGGACUGGGAAAAAAAUUACAUUGGCAUGUAAUUAAUCCCUGUAGAACUACUAGGGGCUCUAAAAAGUGAGUAUCCUUCUGGUAUAAACUGCCUGGUAAUGCAAUACCUAGUAAAGGAAUAACACCUCAGUGUUUUAUUAACACACAUACAUUCCAAAGAGUUAAAAGAACACAUUAGUUAUGAAAAUCAUGGCCUAGGACAAUACCUGAGAACAAACCCAGAGAUUCUUUGAAGGAUUUAAACUGUGCUUUAGUUAACUGUUUCAUCCCCACUUCCCAAUUUAAGAAGCUUAGACCUUAACAAGAUAGAGAAAAGAGCAGACAGCUGUUUUCCUAUUUUAACCCUUUAGUUUAACAUCGAGAGUAGAUUUAUCAGUAGAAAAGAAACAAUUCUGAAUUUCUGUGUUUUUAAUGCAUAGUUAGAUUCCACUGCACAUAAGAACAUACACUCUGUCUUGAAGAGUUAAUCUUAUCUGAAAAGCAACAAAAAACCCUAGAGAGAAUCUGACAAUGCAGGAAUAGAGCUGCAGGAAAAAAACUUAAACAGCUAAUUGAAAAGGCUUCUUAAACAAAGCCAAACAAAAUGAACAGUGAAUAAAUAUUUCCUCAUAGUUGACCAAUACUAAUAUACCAAAUAA